AACGAACGCUGGCGGCGCGCCUAAUACAUGCAAGUCGAGCGAGAAGACGUAGCAAUACGUUUGUAAAGCGGCGAACGGGUGAGGAAUACAUGGGUAACCUACCCUCGAGUGGGGAAUAACUAGCCGAAAGGUUAGCUAAUACCGCGUACGCUCCUUGGACUUCGGUUCAGGGAGGAAAGCGAUACCGUGGGUAUCGCGCUCUUGGAUGGGCUCAUGUCCUAUCAGCUUGUUGGUGAGGUAACGGCUCACCAAGGCCUCGACGGGUAGCUGGUCUGAGAGGACGAUCAGCCACACUGGCACUGCGACACGGGCCAGACUCCUACGGGAGGCAGCAGUAAGGAAUAUUGCGCAAUGGGCGAAAGCCUGACGCAGCGACGCCGCGUGGGGGAUGAAGGUCUUCGGAUUGUAAACCCCUUUCGGG
rnacentral:rRNA from 1 species